rnacentral:rRNA from 2 species
AAAUUGAAGAGUUUGAUCAUGGCUCAGAUUGAACGCUGGCGGCAGGCCUAACACAUGCAAGUCGAACGGUAACAGGAAGCAGCUUGCUGUUUCGCUGACGAGUGGCGGACGGGUGAGUAAUGUCUGGGAAACUGCCUGAUGGAGGGGG